AUUGAACGCUGGCGGCAGGCCUAACACAUGCAAGUCGAGCGAGCGGCGGACGGGUGGGUCAUGUAUGGGGACUGCCCGCUCGAGGGGGAUAACUACUGGACACGGUGGCUAAUACCGCCUACUAUCGGAUACCCCAUAUGGGAGUAGACAGUACGUGGGGUAAAGGCUCACCUAGGCGACGAUCUCUAGCUGGUCUGAGAGAAUGAUAGGCGACACUGGGAGGGAGACACUUUCCAGACGCCUACGGAGGCAGCAGUGGGGAAUAUGGCACAAUGGGCGCAAGUCUGAUGCAGCCAGGCCGCGUGGAUGAAGAAGGCCUGAGGGUCGUAAAGUACUUGAAGAUGGGAGGCGUUACCCGCAGAGGAAGCACCGGCUAACUCCGGGACAGCAGCCGCGGUAAUUC
rnacentral:rRNA from 1 species